GAGACCUGAAACUGCAGAAGACCCAGAGUUUAGAGGAACAUCAAGGCAAGAGACUGGAAAGGCCAGUUUAGGAAUGAGUCAGCAAUUUCUCGGGGCUAUUCAAUUUAUUUAAUUUUUAAAAAGAGAGUAAAAAAGUGUUCUUUUUUUUUUGAAAAGCAAAAUACCCAACCAGGGAAUGCUCUCUGCCCUACAUAGCAUCUAUCAUACGAUGCUGCAGACUUUCUGAAACCAUCAACCGUGUAUGCAUGUGGAAUUAUUCCCUCAAGGAAAGCAGAUGAAACUCUGGUGCAUAAGCUUCGUAUAACUGCUGGAGAGAGAUGGAAACGGACACUCUGGGGGAUUCGCUGACUGGUGGGGGGGAUACCAGAUGACCCAGGAGUGCAGAGCCCUUCAAGCACACAGCACUCAGAGGAGAAGCACCUCACACCCAGCAGGAGCACAGAGAAAGUUGAGCUACUGCGGGCCCUGGGGACCAGACAUCAUUAUUGCAACCACCCUUAGCUUCCCUCUAGCCUAAUGGGCCAUGCUGACCAAGGCCGGGGGAGGCUACACAGGCCACUGGCAAGUCCAGCCAUGCCCACCCUGGCCCCCACGACGCUUAGAGCCCUCCCCUUGGCAGGCUGCCCACGCUGAUGGAUUGCAUCCCGUCAGGAUAUUGAUCCUGGUGAACUAGGGGACCCUUGACUGUGAUUAAAAGAACCUGAGCAUAAAGAAAAGUCUUGAACUAUAGAUGAUACUGUGUCACUUGGGAGACAUUGCCAGAAAAUCAACUCCAAACAGUUCUAAUGGGAUGUGAUGGAGAUGUUAAGCACCCAGGGAGUGAGGCAAGAGGAGGUUCCCUACAAUCAGCAGGUGGUGGGCAGGAGGUCCCAGGAAGUUGUCUACAAAUGCCGAGUCCCUGGGCUUCGGGUGGAGGCCCUGCCCACUGCACUGGCAAUCGGGCUGUUUCAGGUCAGCGAGGCCCUCACGUCCUUGGAGACCCAGGCUGAUCCCUGAGAAACAGAUGGCCCCUUGGCGGCUUCCCAGCAUGAAAACGACUUGAGCAGAGGUGCUCCACGUAACAACAACAUGCUUCCGCCUGUGCUGCGUUUCACAUUGGCAGGGGCCCUCCCCAUCAGCCAUUUGUCCUGAUGCCCUCUGAGCACCCAGUGUGUGCCAGGCACUGCUCUGGGUCACAGGAAUGAAACACAUGGGUGCCCCUGCCCCAUGGAACUCCAUGCUGAGCAGGGAAAUUUAGAAUAUGCUGUGAUGAACACCUACCUGACAGACCCCUGCCAAGCCCAGACUGGGAGGGGGUCGGCUGAGGAAGCUUCGUGGUGGUGACCCUGAGCCCCAGUCCUGGCCGUGAUUCUGGACAGUGAGGGAAGUGAGCACAGAGCAUUGAGGGGGUGGCUGUGAGCAUCAGUGUCUCCACCCUGGGAAUCAGGGAGUGGGGGUGAGGACCAGGGGUGGAGACACAAUACCCAUAGGGGUUUGGGGUCACAGGGCUUGUGCCCCAAGCAAAGAGCCUGGCUUUUGUUGGGAAAAUCACGGCAGGAUUUGAAGCCGAGGGAUGACACACCCACACGCACAUUUGGGGAAGGUCUUUCUGCCACAGAGGAGAGGGAGGAGAUGUGGCUGGGCAGGAAGAGGCUGGAGGCGGGAAGCAGGUGGGAGGGAUGAGAAGCCACAUGCUGGGUGACCGUUGAGUGAUGGAGAAGGGACGCAGGUGGAGGGAUGGUUAGGAAAAGCAAUGCUCUCAGUGACCCUUUGACCAUGGUGAGUGCUGAUUCCCAAGUCUGCCUUAGAAGCUUGGCAGAAAUUGGGGUCAUUUGUCAGGCUGGAAAUUCAGGAGCAGGGAGA